UCCUGGUUAACCCAGGCAGUCUCACUAGAGUCCCCACCUUUACGUGUUGGCAACUAAUGAUAAGGGUUGCGCUCGUUGCGGGACUUAACCCAACACCUCACGGCACGAGCUGACGACAGCCAUGCAGCACCUGUACAGCAGCCAUUGCUGGAAAUAACAUCUCUGUUAUCGUCUCCUGUAUGUCAAGUCUGGGUAAGGUUCUUCGCGUUGCAUCGAAUUAAACCACAUGCUCCACUGCUUGUGCGGGCCCCCGUCAAUUCUUUUGAGUUUCACCCUUGCGAGUGUACUCCCCAGGCGGUAUACUUAUCGCGUUAGCUACGACACAGUCGGGGUUGAGCCCAACUACAUCAAGUAUACACCGUUUACAGCAAGGACUAC
rnacentral:misc_RNA from 1 species